UACAGAGGGUGCGAGCGUUAAUCGGAAUUACUGGGCGUAAAGCGCGCGUAGGCGGCGCGGUAAGUCGGGUGUGAAAUCUCGGAGCUUAACUCCGAAACUGCAUUCGAUACUGCCGUGCUUGAGGACUGGAGAGGAGACUGGAAUUUACGGUGUAGCGGUGAAAUGCGUAGAUAUCGUAAGGAAGACCAGUGGCGAAGGCGGGUCUCUGGACAGUUCCUGACGCUGAGGCACGAAGGCCAGGGGAGCAAACGGG
rnacentral:rRNA from 1 species